rnacentral:rRNA from 1 species
AUUUAUAGUGUAAACUAAAUGCCGGACAAUACGAACACUGUUUAAAAUCCAAAGAACUUGGCGGUGUCUUACCAUUACAGGGGAACCUGUCUCUUAAUUCGAUAAUCCACGUUUACUCUUACCUAAAAUUGAAUGAGCAGCCUGUGUACUGCCGUCGUCAGUAUACCUCUAAAAGAACUUAAGUAUGCAACAAUGUCUCUAACAUUAACGUCAGGUCAAAGUGCAGCCUAUGUUUAGGGGUUCGAUGGGUUACAAUCUAAACUAUAGAUACGUAAGUCUAGCUUAUAUACUAGUUAGAAGGUGGACUUGUAAGUAAUUUAUAUAGAAAAUAUAAAAAUGAAGUUGAAUCU